UGCAAGCAGCGGAGCAACGGCGUAGGCUGGAAGGUAGCAGCAAGAUGCACGUGCAGGAGGAGUGGAGGGCAAGUGCCA
rnacentral:SRP_RNA from 10 species